AUUGAACGCUGGCGGCAUGCCUUACACAUGCAAGUCGAACGGCAGCACGGGAGCAAUCCUGGUGGCGAGUGGCGAACGGGUGAGUAAUAUAUCGGAACGUGCCCGGUCGUGGGGAUAACGUAGCGAAAGCUACGCUAAUACCGCAUACGAUCUACGGAUGAAAGCGGGGGGAUCGCAAGAGCCUCGCGCGAUUGGAGCGGCCGAUAUCAGAUUAGGUAGUUGGUGGGGUAAAGGCUCACCAAGCCAACGAUCUGUAGCUGGUCUGAGAGGACGACCAGCCACACUGGAACUGAGACACGGUCCAGACUCCUACGGAGGCAGCAGUGGGGAAUUUUGGACAAUGGACGCAAGUCUGAUCCAGCCAUUCCGCGUGCAGGAUGAAGGCCUCGGGUUGUAAACUGCUUUUG
rnacentral:rRNA from 1 species